rnacentral:rRNA from 1 species
GAUGAGCGCUGGCGGCGUGCCUAAUACAUGCAAGUCGAGCGAACGGACGAGAAGCUUGCUUCUCUGAUGUUAGCGGCGGACGGGUGAGUAACACGUGGAUAACCUACCUAUAAGACUGGGAUAACUUCGGGAAACCGGAGCUAAUACCGGAUAAUAUUUUGAACCGCAUGGUUCAAAAGUGAAAGACGGUCUUGCUGUCACUUAUAGAUGGAUCCGCGCUGCAUUAGCUAGUUGGUAAGGUAACGGCUUACCAAGGCAACGAUGCAUAGCCGACCUGAGAGGGUGAUCGGCCACACUGGAACUGAGACACGGUCCAGACUCCUACGGGAGGCAGCAGUAGGGAAUCUUCCGCAAUGGGCGAAAGCCUGACGGAGCAACGCCGCGUGAGUGAUGAAGGUCUUCGGAUCGUAAAACUCUGUUAUUAGGGAAGAACAAAUGUGUAAGUAACUGUGCACAUCUUGACGGUACCUAAUCAGAAAGCCACGGCUAACUACGUG